CCAGGCUUUCAGAUCCCACUGCCAGCUGCCUGUAGACACAGUGCCUGGCAAACCAAACCCCCCCAGGUGCUGGCAAGGGCCAGUCUUCCCAGAACAGGAGCACCUGGGAGGCAUCAGAAGCCUGAUGGGUCUGUAGGGAUGGAGAGGGAACAGUAGGUCUUCUUCAUAGAAUAAAGAGCUAACAAGAGAGCCAUGGAGGCACUUGGCCUGCCCAGCCUGAAGGAAGGAGCUGAUUCUUUAUGGAGUUUCAUUAUAGAAGUCCCAAUCAGCCAUUAGAGGUUCAUUUAAAUGGGUUUUCUUGAGCAUUAAGAGGAUAUGGUACUGCAUUCAUAGCCAGCUUUCCUCAGGUUUUACUGAAAGUGGUAUAAGUGGGUUUCUUCAAGUACAUGUGAUUGCUCAUAGCCACUGAAGUUGAUUUGAAUCACUUGCUACCAGGCUCACCAAUUUAGCCUGAUAAAUUGUGCAUUAUUAAAUGGAGGAAGGGAACAAAGCUGUGUUCUCCCAGAGAAGAAAAUGCAGGAUUUCUCAUCAAUGAAGAAUGAUUCCUUUCAUCAGCACAGUCUGAAAAAGGCCAUAAUGAACCAUUUGCACCUAAGAGCACAAGCCUUCAGUCUACUACAUUCCUGAUCCGUCCUUGCGCUCCAAGAUUGAGAUGAUGAGCUCUGCCCAGAGCCAGCCACCAGGGCAGAUACACAGGCAAUCCUUACUCUGUGCCAGUGUGCAAGGAAUGAUGCAGAAAACCUUUGAUGAGGAGAUUCUCACAAGCAGAGGACUGUGAC
rnacentral:lncRNA from 1 species